CCUGCAUCUCGAAUAUGACUCCGAAUAUGGAAUGAUGUCAAAUCCAAUAUCAUAUUCAUAUUUCUCUUGAUCUUUAAUGAUAAUUUGAUUAAUAAAAUAUAAAAAAAUUCUUUUUAAUUUUUAUUCUACUUUGAUCAAAGACUUCCUAAAUCAUCAAUCGAUCAGCGCAAGUAGGAUGCGAUCUCUUCUUACCAGGAAUGAUCAAUUUGAUGUUGACCUACUCACAACCUUUAUACAC
rnacentral:lncRNA from 1 species